rnacentral:rRNA from 1 species
UUUUUGUGGAGGGUUCGAUUCUGGCUCAGGAUGAACGCUGGCGGCGUGCUUAACACAUGCAAGUCGAACGGGAUCCAUCAGGCUUUGCUUGGUGGUGAGAGUGGCGAACGGGUGAGUAAUGCGUGACCGACCUGCCCCAUACACCGGAAUAGCUCCUGGAAACGGGUGGUAAUGCCGGAUGCUCCAGUUGAUCGCAUGGUCUUCUGGGAAAGCUUUCGCGGUAUGGGAUGGGGUCGCGUCCUAUCAGCUUGACGGCGGGGUAACGGCCCACCGUGGCUUCGACGGGUAGCCGGCCUGAGAGGGCGACCGGCCACAUUGGGACUGAGAUACGGCCCAGACUCCUACGGGAGGCAGCAGUGGGGAAUAUUGCACAAUGGGCGCAAGCCUGAUGCAGCGACGCCGCGUGAGGGAUGGAGGCCUUCGGGUUGUAAACCUCUUUUAUCGGGGAGCAAGCGAGAGUGAGUUUACCCGUUGAAUAAGCACCGGCUAACUACGUGCCAGCAGCCGCGGUAAUACGUAGGGUGCAAGCGUUAUCCGGAAUUAUUGGGCGUAAAGGGCUCGUAGGCGGUUCGUCGCGUCCGGUGUGAAAGUCCAUCGCUUAACGGUGGAUCCGCGCCGGGUACGGGCGGGCUUGAGUGCGGUAGGGGAGACUGGAAUUCCCGGUGUAACGGUGGAAUGUGUAGAUAUCGGGAAGAACACCAAUGGCGAAGGCAGGUCUCUGGGCCGUUACUGACGCUGAGGAGCGAAAGCGUGGGGAGCGAACAGGAUUAGAUACCCUGGUAGUCCACGCCGUAAACGGUGGAUGCUGGAUGUGGGGCCCGUUCCACGGGUUCCGUGUCGGAGCUAACGCGUUAAGCAUCCCGCCUGGGGAGUACGGCCGCAAGGCUAAAACUCAAAGAAAUUGACGGGGGCCCGCACAAGCGGCGGAGCAUGCGGAUUAAUUCGAUGCAACGCGAAGAACCUUACCUGGGCUUGACAUGUUCCCGACGGUCGUAGAGAUACGGCUUCCCUUCGGGGCGGGUUCACAGGUG